rnacentral:lncRNA from 1 species
AAUAGUUUGAUAGUAGAUAAUAUGAGAGUACUAUCUAUCGCGGGCACUCUUAUUUUUUUAGAGAGAAAUAUAGCAUACUGUCCGAUUUGUUUUUUUCUUUUAAUAGCUCUAAAUGUGGAGCAAUUAGGUUUCGAACUUAAAAUCUUGGGUAUCAAGUAUCAACCACUAAAUCCUUUGCCACUUGCGUUAACGAUGAUCAGUUAUCGCCGACACUCUAUUUAGAUUUUAGAUGAGCUUUAGCAUUCUGCGCUAGUAAUUUGAAUCUAACAAAUAAUUUG